AGGUGUCACACAAGCCAAAGCUGCACAACAGGCCCAGGUAAUUCAUUCAAUCCCACCAAAGAAUGAGAAAAGGAGGCAGGGAGGAGAAUUAAACAUCUCAACAUCAAGCUUCAGUCUGAUCAGUAAACUAAGUACCGCCUCCAGCUGAAACUCCUUUCUUUGCGUCUGGCAUUAUGCUGAGGAAUUCCACCCGGCCUGUCCCCUCCCCACUGACACCACAUUCACACACAGGCGCAUCCCGCAUGGAAAAAUGAUCAGCCACGGAGCCGAACGCCGCCAGCCUCGUAAAUAAGACGGAGGCAACGCUUGAGAGGGUGCUCUGACAGGAGGUAUCUGAGCGUCCAGCUCCCUGCAUCCAACCGCAUGGGUAUAAAUCAGAUGUCUGCUGCUGUGGGAACAGGAGCCUGAAGGGUAAAGGAAGGAGAAGCGAGUUUCUGGGAGGUCCUCUGCUCUUUAGCUUUAUUCUCCCCAGGGGAGGAUGUACCGAACUGGGAUGUGUUUUUUUUUUAUUUUCUGGUCUGACAGGCGGUGUCAGAUUAGCACAGCGAUGCUCAUUUACGCCGCAGGGUUGCUAAGCACAACCGCGGACCUCUGCUGCCGGCAUCUUAGCGGCACCACGGGCAGCGCUGGCGGCGUGGAGGAGGGCAGCCGGCGGGAACGGGGACUGACAAAUACGAGCGGCGGCGGCGGCGAGAGGCAUCCUGGUUCCUCACUCGGCAAACGUGCAGAUAACGGAGAAAAGCCCGACGUUUCUGAAGACGUUCGGCGUCGUCCUCGGCCUCGCUUGGCUGCAAUCUUUCCCUGAUUUAUCUCCCUCUUAGCUCCAAUCAGUAACCACACACUGAGUAUUUGUAUUGUUCCGCUUCAGGUGGAACAGAAUUUAAAUCCAAACGACAGGUCGGCUGUAAGUUACAGCAAAUGAAUCCAAAUGCUCGACACAGCUAUACAUUAAAUCUGAACAUGCGGUCGCCCACAAAUUCAAGUGUCCAGGAAGUGAUUGUUUGAGUGUUUGUAGGAGCUUUGCCUGCUGCAACUUCAGUUAGCCUGUAGCCCAUUAGCUAAACAGCUGAAGCCUGGUCUCUUUAAGGCCGCAAGGUUUUUAAUAAACAUCCUCAUCAUUAUCUGCCGCAGUCUAAUUCUGCUUCACAUGCUGGGAAAGUGGAUGUUAAAAGGAACAGACCCUCGUGUGCUGUAACUAAAAGUUCACACACUCAGAGUGUGGAUUUGCGGCUCUCCGCCGAUGCAGAAUGACUGAACCUUAACAGCUGCAUUGUAAUAUAUCUCAGUUUACUGCUGAGCCUCGAGUCUUAGGCCAUUAGCAAACCAUCUGGUACGGCGUGUUCUGAUGACGGUCCAAACCUGAGCGCUCAGCAAGCAUUAAAUCAAGAUGCAUUGCGACACCCCUCCGGUGCGAUACGGCGUUCACACGUUUAAUUUCAGGUACUUAGCUCAGCGCUCGCUUGUGAGGAGGGAAAGGUUCAGAGCCUGAAUGCCAAGAACAUCUAAGUCCCCUUUGUAAUUCAGUUUCUUGUAUAUUUCUUUUGCGCCUGCAUCAUCAGAUGACCUCUGCCGACGCGCUGAACGUCUGUUUUCUGGGGCUCCUGAGUCAAACGACGCAGCGCUCAGCGGCGCGUGACGCCUCGCUAUAAAUUCAGAGCGGACGGAAUGAGAGGAGACGCUCCUCCGACCAGCUCUGCAUCUUUCUCCGUCGGCAAACGCUAAGUAGAUACGAAGUACGAGCAAACAACGCGAUUCCAGAAUUUACUGUCUCGCUGGUUAACACGGUCGAGUUGUUAGGCAAACGGCCGGUCCCCGGGAGGCAGUAAAUAACAGAAAGGCCCUGUGCUUUCUGGGUGCACUGUGCAAUGGAAUAUGUCUCAGCCAGCGUCGUGUGGUCCCUCGACUGGAGCUGAUCUCCUUGUUCCCCCAAAAGACGGCAUCCGAACAUACCGAGGCCCAUGUGCACAUACGAAGAAAUCGCUAAACCACUUGGGGAAUCGGAGCGGCGUUGUCGAACAUGAGAGACAAACAGAGAUACGGGGAGACGCUGGCAGAUUAACCCCCCCCCCCACACACACACACACACACCCCACGCUAUCGCUGAUUCAGUCUGCCUGGCGCUGACGAGGUGGAGGGACAGCCCUUUGAUGCAGCUGAGGAGCAGCUGACGCUGCUACCUGUGACUGUCAUCGCCCUCUCUGAUGUCAGGGGCCUUCGCUGUGCUAAACGAGGCCACAUUUCACCGCCGCACCAGGGGCCCCACACCACAAGCUGCAACACACCUGUGCCUCAAAACAUCACAGGACCCACACACACACACACACACACACACACACACACACACACACACACACACACACACACACACACACACACUCAGACACGCCCGCCGCUCUGCCUCAGAUUCAGACAAAUGAGAACAUUUCGUUUUCACUGAGAGACGUUGUUGCCGAUGAGAGAUGGACCUUGUAUCAGCGGCUGCCUCACAAGGAGACAUUGCUUUGCAUUUUCAUUAGCCUGCGUCUGAAAGGUCCGGACACGGUCGCAGAUGCUGUUGGAGAUAAAACUCCAAGAGCAAUCAAUCAGCGAAAUCAAUGCCGCUUUGAGCUAGAUAGUCAAAUUCAAUACAGACGUACGGAGGCACAAAACUUAGUUUACUAGUGUCAGCAAAUGUAAGAACAUGCUGCUGUAGGAUGGACACAGAUUGAAUAGCACGGCAGGUUAACAUGUAUAGUAUGUGUGGCCUACAGAUCAACUAAGGGGAGCAUUUUUACUUAACAGCUGACCUGAGACACACUUAGAACUUUUUUAUUUUUAAAUCAGACUUUAUUCUUGCUUUUACUGCUGUGAGAUAUUGUAGACAAACAAAAUCCUUCAAAUACAUGUGUGGCCUCUCAUUGUUAAUACUGUACAGUAGAUGCAGUUUUUCUCCUUAAAGUUAUAAUCGGAGACACAUCAUUGCUGCUGUUUGGUUUCAUUGCUCAUAAAUAUGACAACAAAGUGAAGCUAUUUCCAUCCAAAGUGUUCAGACCGUAUGUUAAACAUUUUCCUCCACGGAGCCGCUCCACAAGGUCACGACUUUGCUUAAAUACGGGUCCAAGUGCACAGGCUGCACCACGGCCAACUGAAAACACUAUGUUCUACCCUUCUCAUUGUUUAAUGCAUAUUUUAGCAGUCUUUAUUCUGCCCACUGAAUUAAACCACUCUGGAUUCAAACAUGGAAGACAGUGAACCACACACUGACGUUUAAGGCGUUCGAGUGUAAUUUCCCACAUGCACAUGUAGGCACACUUAGCUUCCUUGGCAGGGCUGCGAGGCUUCUUGCUUGGGUUAAAUGUAACUUCAGAAAGGCCAAGGUGCAAAGGCCCCCCAGUAUCUAGCUCAGCCCACAUUCUCAUUCUCCAUGCAUCAUUACCGCUGGAGAAACCUUGAGCCAAUAAACAGCUCAGUGGCACGGCUCUUAUUUAAAGGCAAGAGGGGAAAUGGAAAAGUAUGCACACACACACACACACACACACACACACACACACACACACACACACACACACACACACACACGCAGCGGCACAAAUGCUCAGACUGCCAGUCUUGUCACACAUACAGUACUUCCCUGUUAAAAAAUGUUAACACACACGUACAGUUUCUCGUCAUUAGAUUGCAAAUGGAUCGCGUUCAGAUCUGAGCUCUUUCAUUAAUAGCUGGACUACACUCGCACAACCAUUAAAGUCCCCCCUCAGGACGUUUCACAUGUAGACGAACAAUUAAAACAAGUAAUCAGAUACAGUACGAGCACAAAUGGCCGGGUUGCGUCUAAAGAUAGAUAUGCCCGUCUUGGUUUUCAACAUCCCAGGACAAUAUUACAAUAUUGCCGAGGAAAAGAAAUGAAGAAUAAAUAAAAGAGGACACUGGCAGCCGCGGAAUAAUCACAGCAUACGUCACUCUAUCCAAUCUACAUAAAUAAACUCUCUCUAGGCGAGAGAGAAGUUAGAGCCCUUAUGGUUAUGGUUAAAAUCAUUUUUCAGAGCGCGGUUCACUGCACUUUGAAGCCUGUUUAUGGCUGCAAGCAUGUUUUACAAUGUUUGAUGAAAUAUUUGGUUUAGUUUGGCUGAGCUACGGCGAGUGACUCAGCGCAGGAUUGAUGCAGAUUAUGUAUCCUAAUGUGACAUUAACCAUUCGUCUCCCGCAGCCGCGACCUCAGCGAGCUUUCCCUAAAGCAUCAUUAAACGAUCUAUUUAUUUAUGCCCGGAGAACUUGUUCUGACCUGCCAUGGGAUAAUUGUUUUAAAAGAUAUGACUCAGGCCGAGGGGCUCGGGGGUGAAAGGGAUGCCGACCUCACCUCGCGCGGGUCUGAGCACACGAUAAAGAACUGUAAACACGGCAUCGUCAUUCACGGUCCAAAAUACGCAGGCUUCAAAAUAUUAGUGUUUCAGUGGUGCUUUUGUACGAUGUCACAAUCAACGAUUAAGUCAUGGGAGAGGAAAAAUUCUCAUUCUGAUAAAGAAUAAAUGAGCUUUGAGCGGUUCAGUGA